rnacentral:rRNA from 1 species
CNCGGUCCAGNCUCUACGGGAGGNAGNAGUAGGGAAUAUUGCACAAUNGAGGAAACUCUGAUGCAGCGACGCCGCGUGAGUGAUGAAGGCUUCGGGUCGUAAAGCUCUGUCGCAGGGGAAUNNCACAAUGUAUGUNCCCUGUAAGAAAGGAUCCGGCGUAAGUGGCUUUGUAAGUCAGAUGUGAAAGCCAGGGCUCAACCCUGGAAGUGCAUUUGAUACUGCGAAGCUUGAGUGUCGGAGAGGUUACUAGAAUUGUUGGUGUAGUGGUGAAAUACGUAGAUAUCAACAGGAAUACCGGANGCGANGGCGGGUAACUGGCCGAACACUGACACUGAGAUCCGAAAGCGUGGGGAUCAAACAGGAUUAGAUACCCUCGUAGUCCACGCCGUAAACGAUGGAUACUUGUUGUUGGAGGUAUUGACCCCUUCAGUGACGAACUAACGCGUUAAGUAUCCCGCCUNGGGAGUACGGUNGCAAGAUGUUGGGGACUCUANAUGGACUNNCGGUGUUAAACCGGAGGAAGGUGGGGAUGANGUNAAGUCCUCAUGGCCCUUAUGCCUAGGGCUACACACGUGCUACAAUGGUAGUNNCAGAGCGAAGNUAAGCCGGNAGGUAGAGCAAAUCGCUUAAAAGCUAUCUAAGUUCAGAUUGAUCUCUGCAACUCGAGAUCAUGAAGUUGGAAUCGCUAGUAAUCGCGGAUCAGAAUGCNGCGNUNNAUUNGUUCC